rnacentral:rRNA from 1 species
GACGAACGCUGGCGGCGUGCCUAAUACAUGCAAGUUGAGCGCUGAAGGUUGGUACUUGUUCCAACUGGAUGAGCAGCGAACGGGUGAGUAACGCGUGGGGAAUCUGCCUUUGAGCGGGGGACAACAUUUGGAAACGAAUGCUAAUACCGCAUAAAAACUUUAAACACAAGUUUUAAGUUUGAAAGAUGCAAUUGCAUCACUCAAAGAUGAUCCCGCGUUGUUUUAGCUAGUUGGUGAGGUAAAGGCUCACCAAGGCAAGGAUACAUAACCGCCCUGAGAGGGUGUUCGCCAAAAUGGGACCGGGAAAAGGCCCAAACUCCCACGGGAAGCAGCAGUAGGGAAACUUCGGGAAUUGGGGAAAGUCUGGCCGGGGAAAGGCGCGGGGGGGAAGGAGGUUUUCGGAUCGGAAAACCCUGUUGGUAGGGAAGAACGUUGGGGGGAGUGGAAAGCUCAUCAAGUGACGGUAACUACCCAGAAAGGGACGGCUAACUACGUG